AUUGAACGCUAGCGGGAUGCCUUACACAUGCAAGCCGAACGGAGUGGCGAACGGGUGCGGAAUGUAUCGGAACGUGCCCAGUCGCGGGGGAUGACUACGCGAAAGCGUAGCUAAUACCGCAUACUCUUGGCACGGGCGGUAUCGGAUUAGCUUGUUGGUGGGGUAAGGGCACACCAAGGCGACGGUCCGUAGCUGGUUUGAGAGGAUGACCAGCCACACUGGAACUGAGACACGGCCCAGACUCCUACGGGAGGCAGCAGUGGGGAAUUUUGCACAAUGGGGGAAACCCUGAUGCAGCCAUCCCGCGUGUGCGAUGAAGGCCUUCGGGUUGUAAAGCACUUUUGGCAGGAAAGCGGUACCUGCAGAAUAAGCACCGGCUAACUACGUGCCAGCAGCCGCGGUAAUAC
rnacentral:rRNA from 1 species